AUGAUGAACAUAGAGCACAAGGCUUUCUGCAAGCUCCGCCGCUCCAUGCACCCCACCUCGCCAGCUGACAUCGAUCCUAAGGUCCACAGCACCGUGGAAAGAGCUGUGAGGAGCAUUCUGGGCGAGCAGUCCAAUGAGCCCCGUAGCAACCUGCUCAGCCCAUCUCAGGUGGUGGUGGAGGUGGUGCCCAGGCUCCUCCUGGCCCUGUGGCUUCAGCCAGAGGAAGGCCAUUCAGAGCACCCAAGAGAGAGAGACUUAGAGAGCACUCUGACAGGUGCCGUUUGUCAUGACAUCUUAGUAGAACCUUUCAACUGGCCAGUGUUUAGAAGCUACGGUUUGCAUUUGUUCACAUUCUGUUCCUCUUUUUUCCCUUUCCAGAGGAUGUUGCUGUGGUCAUCCCGGAUGUCACCCCACACGUCACCAAGGACGUGGCACUGGAAGUUCCAUGCAGAGCUAGGAAAGGGGCAGUCCGGCUAUUAUUUUGCAGGCUUUGGAGGGCAGUGUGCUGCUGCCCCUGCCACAAGGAAGAGGAGAAACAAUAUUAAUUAUUCAUCAGACCUUCAGAAAUGGGAUUGAACCGUAGACCAUUCAAUUAUUCGCAUUAUAAUUGGACUCAAUUCUGCUUUUCUUCUGUUUACUACUUAAUUUCAGAACAUUUCUAUAAACUUUCACUUUGCAAGUGUGGAGUAGGUUAUGUAAAUAAGUGAGAAACAUCACAAUUUUAAUGCUUUUAAUUAAAAAAAAGGGGCCCUCAACCAACGUUCAGUUGAGGUGCAACCAAAUAUUUGAAUCAUCAUAGAAAAGGAAAAGGAGCAACUCUUGCUCACUAUAAAAAAUGCAUUGUUUUAUUCAGGCAAGGUUAAAAGAUUAACGUUUUGGCCUAGUCUGUGAUGAUAUGCAAGUUGUGUUUGUAGCAGGAAAAGGGUGACCCCUUUAACGAAAUGGGACUUGUCAAUUCUUGAAUAAAAAUCUUUAAUGAACAUGAAUUUAUAUACAAUUGACUUGAGGAUCAGAGCAGGCAGGCUGACUGGCUAGCCCUGAAGGCCCUCUGCCUCUACCUGUGUGGUUCAUCUCAACCAAGAGGUUGUGUGGGUUGUCUUUCUCUCUGUGGGUGUGAAUCACUAUGACCUCUCCCUCUGCCUGCCAUUUGGCUGAUCAGAAGCCUUCUGCUCUUUCUUGCUCACAUGAACAGGAGGAAUGGCCUCUGGGGUAAUAUCCUCCUCUAUCUAACGCCUCUUCCACCUCCUCUUUCUGACUGUGUUCGACUGACGUCACUUGUUCUCUCUCCCUGGGUGUUGGAUAGUUCCUCCUCCUCUGUGUCUCUGUGAUGGUGGAGGGAGUUAUCCUGUUCCGGCUCCCUCUAAGGGUGUGCACCGUAAUCUCUUUCGGUGUGUUGAGGGGUUCAGUGGUUUUGAAGGGAGUCUGAAGUUCGAUCUCUAGCGAUGAGUGUGGGGUCUGUCCCGUGGUGGUGUCCCCAUCCCUCCUAAGGAGAAGCCCCUGAGACACCAAUUAAAGGCACUUCCGGUUGGCACAGGAAGCUAUAGGUAAACAAAUAUCUUGCUUUGGGUAUUCUCUUACAGAAUCCUGAGAAUCCUAAAGUCUUUAUGUUAAGAAUUGACUGAUCUACCCAGGGUUGAAUGCAGUCAUUUUCACAUUUGCAGGUUAUGUACAUCAAAAUACAUUUUGGGUGAAUUUAACCACUUCCGGUUGCUCCAGGAAGCUUAGAAUCGACACAGGUAGACCUCAUAGUGGCCUGAUGGAUUGGCAUUGAAGACAGGUUCAUAAGGCAUUAUUAACCCACAUAGGCUCCAGGUUGAAUUUAGGGGAGCUGUCAAUGUAUUCCUAUGGGGAGAGAUGUCAUUGUAAUCUGUGAGAUCAAAAAAACCUGUUUUAUUUUUAAGGGUUAAUGCCACACGGUCAAGGUAAGGCUUGCAUGGAUUGGAAGGACGUUAGGAACAUUCCUGUGGUUGAAUUGUCCUUCUAAACCUAACGGUUCUCUCACUGUCACCCAAAAGCAAAUGACGUUGUGGGGCAGGCUUCAUUUUGGGCUUACUUUUCUCAUGGUCGCUGCGCUCAGUUCGAGCGAGCUACGGUCAAGCGGGAUAUUACGGUGAUGCCAUUUGUUAUUUUUUAGUGUUUAUUUCAGCCUGUCUGUGUAAGUUUCUAGUUCAAAUUGUGCUUCCUGAACAGCAGUAGUACAGGCUACAGCAGGACUUUAUUGUUUAUUUCACUUUUGUUUAUUAUCUACUUAAUUUGCUUUGCCAAUGUAAACAUAUGAUUCCCAUGCCAAUAAUGCCUAAAUAUUUGUUCCUACCUUCACAGACAACAACACAAGACAGUGAAUGUUUAACACUUACAAAUUAAGUGACAAACUAAAUAUAAACCUUAAAGAAAGCACAACACAAAGAAUUACUCAACUAGUUAUUUAAUAAAAC
ensembl:lncRNA